GAUGAACGCUGGCGGCGUGCCUAAUACAUGCCAGUCGAGCGAACAGACGAGGAGCUUGCUCCUCUGACGUUAGCGGCGGACGGGUGAGUAACACGUGGAUAACCUACCUAUAAGACUGGGAUAACUUCGGGAAACCGGAGCUAAUACCGGAUAAUAUAUUGAACCGCAUGGUUCAAUAGUGAAAGACGGUUUUGCUGUCACUUAUAGAUGGAUCCGCGCCGCAUUAGCUAGUUGGUAAGGUAACGGCUUACCAAGGCAACGAUGCGUAGCCGACCUGAGAGGGUGAUCGGCCACACUGGAACUGAGACACGGUCCAGACUCCUACGGGAGGCAGCAGUAGGGAAUCUUCCGCAAUGGGCGAAAGCCUGACGGAGCAACGCCGCGUGAGUGAUGAAGGUCUCCGGAUCGUAAAACUCUGUUAUUAGGGAAGAACAAAUGUGUAAGUAACUAUGCACGUCUUGACGGUACCUAAUCAGAAAGCCACGGCUAACUACGUG
rnacentral:rRNA from 1 species